rnacentral:rRNA from 1 species
ACGGACGCUGGCGGCGUGCUUAACACCUGCAAGUCGAACGGAAAGGCCCCAGCUUGCUGGGGUACUCGAGUGGCGAACGGGUGAGUAACACGUGGGUGAUCUGCCCUGCACUCUGGGAUAAGCCUGGGAAACUGGGUCUAAUACCGGAUAGGACCGUGCUUUAGUGUGUGCGGUGGAAAGUUUUUCGGUGCAGGAUGAGCCCGCGGCCUAUCAGCUUGUUGGUGGGGUAAUGGCCUACCAAGGCGGCGACGGGUAGCCGGCCUGAGAGGGUGUACGGCCACAUUGGGACUGAGACACGGCCCAGACUCCUACGGGAGGCAGCAGUGGGGAAUAUUGCACAAUGGGCGCAAGCCUGAUGCAGCGACGCCGCGUGGGGGAUGACGGCCUUCGGGUUGUAAACCCCUUUCGGCAGGGACGAAGCUUUUGUGACGGUACCUGCAUAAGAAGCACCGGCUAACUACGUG